rnacentral:misc_RNA from 1 species
AAGAAUCGCCCCGUUUUUUGAAAUGGGUUCUGUUCCCAAACCGUGUAUAUAUACCUUUGUUGCUUUGGCAGGCCGCCUAUUAGGCGUCGGCUCCGGCUGACUGCGCCUGUCAGAGGACCCAAACUCGUUUGUUUAGUGAUGUCUGAGUACUAUAUAAUAGUUA